UACGUAGGUGGCAAGCGUUGUCCGGAAUUAUUGGGCGUAAAGCGCGCGCAGGCGGUCCUUUAAGUCUGAUGUGAAAGCCCACGGCUCAACCGUGGAGGGUCAUUGGAAACUGGGGGACUUGAGUACAGAAGAGAAGAGUGGAAUUCCACGUGUAGCGGUGAAAUGCGUAGAGAUGUGGAGGAACACCAGUGGCGAAGGCGACUUUCUGGUCUAUAACUGACACUGAGGCGCGAAAGCGUGGGGAGCAAACAGGAUUAGA
rnacentral:rRNA from 1 species